rnacentral:rRNA from 1 species
GAUGAACGCUGGCGGCGUGCCUAAUACAUGCAAGUCGAGCGAACGGACGAGAAGCUUGCUUCUCUGAUGUUAGCGGCGGACGGGUGAGUAACACGUGGAUAACCUACCUAUAAGACUGGGAUAACUUCGGGAAACCGGAGCUAAUACCGGAUAAUAUUUUGAACCGCGUGGUUCAAAAGUGAAAGACGGUCUUGCUGUCACUUAUAGAUGGAUCCGCGCUGCAUUAGCUAGUUGGUAAGGUAACGGCUUACCAAGGCAACGAUGCAUAGCCGACCUGAGAGGGUGAUCGGCCACACUGGAACUGAGACACGGUCCAGACUCCUACGGGAGGCAGCAGUAGGGAAUCUUCCGCAAUGGGCGAAAGCCUGACGGAGCAACGCCGCGUGAGUGAUGAAGGUCUUCGGAUCGUAAAACUCUGUUAUUAGGGAAGAACAUAUGUGUAAGUAACUGUGCACAUCUUGACGGUACCUAAUCAGAAAGCCACGGCUAACUACGUGCCAGCAGCCGCGGUAAUACGUAGGUGGCAAGCGUUAUCCGGAAUUAUUGGGCGUAAAGCGCGCGUAGGCGGUUUUUUAAGUCUGAUGUGAAAGCUCACGGCUCAACCGUGGAGGGUCAUUGGAAACUGGAAAACUUGAGUGCAGAAGAGGAAAGUGGAAUUCCAUGUGUAGCGGUGAAAUGCGCAGAGAUAUGGAGGAACACCAGUGGCGAAGGCGACUUUCUGGUCUGUAACUGACGCUGAUGUGCGAAAGCGUGGGGAUCAAACAGGAUUAGAUACCCUGGUAGUCCACGCCGUAAACGAUGAGUGCUAAGUGUUAGGGAGUUUCCGCCCCUUAGUGCUGCAGCUAACGCAUUAAGCACUCCGCCUGGGGAGUACGACCGCAAGGUUGAAACUCAAAGGAAUUGACGGGGACCCGCACAAGCGGUGGAGCAUGUGGUUUAAUUCGAAGCAACGCGAAGAACCUUACCAAAUCUUGACAUCCUUUGACAACUCUAGAGAUAGAGCCUUCCCCUUCGGGGGACAAAGUGACAGGUGGUGCAUGGUUGUCGUCAGCUCGUGUCGUGAGAUGUUGGGUUAAGUCCCGCAACGAGCGCAACCCUUAAGCUUAGUUGCCAUCAUUAAGUUGGGCACUCUAAGUUGACUGCCGGUGACAAACCGGAGGAAGGUGGGGAUGACGUCAAAUCAUCAUGCCCCUUAUGAUUUGGGCUACACACGUGCUACAAUGGACAAUACAAAGGGCAGCGAAACCGCGAGGUCAAGCAAAUCCCAUAAAGUUGUUCUCAGUUCGGAUUGUAGUCUGCAACUCGACUACAUGAAGCUGGAAUCGCUAGUAAUCGUAGAUCAGCAUGCUACGGUGAAUACGUUCCCGGGUCU